rnacentral:lncRNA from 1 species
AACAUUGAAAGGCUAGAAUUAGUAAACAACAACUUUGUUUGAGUCCAACAUGUGCACAGGGGCAAGAGGGGUGUUUUAUUUACAAACAUAUGUGUCGAUUCUCUGUUGUCAAGUCGACACAAAUUUCCAACGGAGGAAAUUUUUAGCUAUAUUUUAACAAACAUUAUAACGUUAAUUUAACUUAUUUCUGUUAUAUUUUAUAGGAAAAUUUAAAAUAAAAAGUAUAAAUACUACAAUUAACCUAUUUUAAGAAUAAAUAUAAUAUCCUUAAGCAAAAAAAAAACAAAAUUAUUAACAUUCUUAUCCCUAAAACUGCUUCUAAAAAAUUUGAAGCGACAACACCGGAGCUUAAGCGCCUAAACCAUACGCGUUGUGUCAUCUGUCAAACGGCUUUUUGUUUAUAUUCGGGAUUCGUGUAUUUUCUUUAAUUUUUGGUUUAAAAAGGAAAAAAGGCCACGUUUUAGUGUUUUUUUAAAUUGCUAGGAUGGCAAAAACUUGUGUCGUUUGUGCCGCAUCAUGAUAAAAACGUGAUUCAAGCCGAUCUUUUCACAAAUUGCCCAAUGAUUAUGCCCAAAGGGAACAAUGGGUUUCAUUAAUGGAAAUCAACACAUUUAAAAAGAACAUAUUUGUUUGUUCAGAUCACAUCCUUAGAAGUGAUAUAAGGGAGAUAAUAUUAUCAGUAGCCAGACUUUAUUAAAAAAAUCAGCUCUACCUCAAAGGUAAUUUUUUUAAAUAUAUUUUUCUAGUAUAUUUAUAGGUAUGAGUAUAUUUUACCUUAGAAUUAUUGAUAAAGGUUUGCAUGCUUUUAUUUACUACAUUAUGUAAGCUAAAAAAACAACCUUUUAAAACUUGUGCUUGGGCUAUGUUGUAAAACAUACAGCUUCUUCACAAAAAGUAUUAGUGUUACUCAUAUAAGAUUUAUUUAUACCUAAUACUUAUUAAAUUAGGUAUGUGUGUAAAACUAUUUUUUUACUAGGAUUUCUGAUGCACUGGUUAAAAACACAGCAGCCAAUAAUUCAGUUAAUUUACCAAGUGAUUUACCCUUCAAAGCUACAGGGGUAGCUUUCCUGAAGAGUGCAAAAACUUCUUUAGCUUUCAAAAUGGUAUAUAGUACAAACAGUGAAGCUAAUAUAGACACAUCUGAUCAUUCAUCAUCAACAAUAACUGCAUCUGAGAAUUAUAGUUCUACAGUAACCGUGGAGUCUAGGUCAACAAUUACUAUUUCUCAUCCAAGCCGUUUUUGUUUAACUGCUACACAUUCCCUGACUCUGCCAAGGAAAAGGGUAAAAUCAAAAUGAUAUCCUGAGGACCUAAGCACUGAUGAUUCCACCGUUUCAAGAGCUUAAUCACUUGUCACCAGAUUAUGGAAAAAAAAUAAAGAACAAAAAAUUAAAAUUCGAAGAUUGCAACAAGCAAAUUUGCGCCAAAGAAAUUAAAUUAGAUGUCUCAAGUCAUUAUUAAAAUACUUACAUGAAAUAAUAACAUGAUUUUAUGGAAAAGCCCAACAUACUACAUAUUUUAUUUGACUUGUAAAAGCACUUGUUUGUAUAUUACUACUAAUAAACUCUCUAAUCUAAUCUAUUGUA